ensembl:misc_RNA Metazoa_SRP Metazoan signal recognition particle RNA
GCUGGGUGUGGUGGCGGGCACCUGUAAUCCCAGCUACUCAGGAGGCUGAGGCAGGAGAAUCUCUUGAACCCGGGAGGGGUGUGGAUAUUGCAGUGAGCCAAGAUUGCACCACUGCACUCCAGCCUGGGUAAUAGAGCGAGACUCUGUCUCCA